GAAGAGGGAAACAACCCAGACCGCCAGCUAAGGUCCCAAAGUCAUGGUUAAGUGGGAAACGAUGUGGGAAGGCCCAGACAGCCAGGAUGUUGGCUUAGAAGCAGCCAUCAUUUAAAGAAAGCGUAAUAGCUCACUGGUCGAGUCGGCCUGCGCGGAAGAUGUAACGGGGCUAAACCAUGCACCGAAGCUGCGGCAGCGACGCUUAUGCGUUGUUGGGUAGGGGAGCGUUCUGUAAGCCUGUGAAGGUGGCCUGUGAGGGUUGCUGGAGGUAUCAGAAGUGCGAAUGCUGACAUAAGUAACGAUAAAGCGGGUGAAAAGCCCGCUCGCCGGAAGACCAAGGGUUCCUGUCCAACGUUAAUCGGGGCAGGGUGAGUCGACCCCUAAGGCGAGGCCGAAAGGCGUAGUCGAUGGGAAACGGGUUAAUAUUCCCGUACUUGGUGUUACUGCGAAGGGGGGACGGAGAAGGCUAUGUUGGCCGGGCGACGGUUGUCCCGGUUUAAGCGUGUAGGUGUGUGUUCCAGGUAAAUCCGGUUCACUUUAACACUGAGGCGUGAUGACGAGGCACUACGGUGCUGAAGUAACAAAUGCCCUGCUUCCAGGAAAAGCCUCUAAGCAUCAGGUAACAUCAAAUCGUACCCCAAACCGACACAGGUGGUCAGGUAGAGAAUACCAAGGCGCUUGAGAGAACUCGGGUGAAGGAACUAGGCAAAAUGGUGCCGUAACUUCGGGAGAAGGCACGCUGACAC
rnacentral:rRNA from 1 species